rnacentral:rRNA from 1 species
AAUAGAUACCCGGGUAGUCCAUGCCGUAAACGUUGGGCACUAGGUGUGGGGCUCAUUCCACGAGUUCCGUGCCGCAGCAAACGCAUUAAGUGCCCCGCCUGGGGAGUACGGCCGCAAGGCUAAAACUCAAAGGAAUUAACGGGGGCCCGCACAAGCGGCGGAGCAUGCGGAUUAAUUCGAUGCAACGCGAAGAACCUUACCAAGGCUUGACAUGCACGGGAAGCCACCAGAGAUGGUGGUCUCUUUGGACACUCGUGCACAGGUGGUGCAUGGUUGUCGUCAGCUCGUGUCGUGAGAUGUUGGGUUAAGUCCCGCAACGAGCGCAACCCUCGUCCCAUGUUGCCAGCGGGUUAUGCCGGGGACUCAUGGGAGACUGCCGGGGUCAACUCGGAGGAAGGUGGGGAUGACGUCAAAUCAUCAUGCCCCUUAUGUCUUGGGCUUCACGCAUGCUACAAUGGCCGGUACAAAGGGCUGCGAUACCGUAAGUGGAGCGAAAUCCCAAAAAGCCGGUCUCAGUUCGGAUUGGGGUCUG